GUUAGGCUUAUCCUGAAGCACACAGCCAUGAGAAAAGGGCUAAGAACUGGAACAAAAUGGAUUUCUUUGGAGUAGAAAAGAGGGGGUGUACCAAUGAUCUGUCAAGUGAUGCGACACUAGAAUCAGGCUGGAAUUUGGCGUCUUACGGCUACAAAAGUGUUUCAUCAGUCUUCAGGUCUCUGUGCUGAUGUUAAUGCUGGUCAGCUGUGCCUGAAUUCCAACGGGAGGAAGGAAAGAUGAUGUGCAGAGACACAGGGAGAAGACGGCCAUCCACAAGCCAAGGCGAGAGGCCUGGACAGAUCUUUCCCUCACAGUCCUCGGAAAGAACCAAUCCUUUGAACUUCUUGAUUGUGGACUUCUAGGCUCCGGAAG
rnacentral:lncRNA from 1 species